GGGGCGGUAGCUCAGUUGGUUAGAGCAGCGGACUCAUAAUCCGCCGGUCGUCGGUUCGAGCCCGACCCGCCCCACCA
rnacentral:tRNA from 1 species